rnacentral:lncRNA from 1 species
UUAGGAUUACCAGGAGACACCAGGUGCUGCAGCAGCUUCGGGAUAACUUGAGGAUGCCUCCUGGGGAAGAGACACCUCUUGUCCAUGGCGCUGACUACUGAGGACAGCUUCGGUGUGGCUUUUCUGUGGCCGGCUUCUUUGAGGCCUUUUUCUUUCAUGGAUGGUAGAGAGCAGUCUACAGCCUGAGACCCAUCACAAGGUUCCUUGUGAGACACCUGGGGGACUCCAAACAGCCGGAAUCCAUCUGCCCACUGGUCCGGAGACAGGGAUCCUCAGCCUCCUUCCAGGGUUGAUGGCCCAGGAGGCCUUCUCUGCAGGGGACCAGGACACAGGAAAGCCAGGAAGAGAUGAGCUGGGAAGGGAGCUGUUGGGGGCCAUUCUGGUUUUAAAAAUAAAGCAGGACUUUCGUUGCUUGUUAUAAAAGGAACACAUGCUCAUUUUCUGUGAUUUAGGAAAGCACAGAAAAGUAUAAGGGAAAGAAGAAUGUGGCCGUUGCCUAGCAUCAGGGAAAAAAGGGCUGUAGUUUUUAGUGUCUGCCUAGACUGUAAAGUUCUAAACUCUGAAACUUGUACAACCCAUUGUUUAAUGGUUGUCUAAUACUCCAUCACAUGAGCACAUCAUGCCCUGGUUACCUGACCCUUACUGGCUGGAGAGGUGUGGUGUUCCUAAUUUUUGCUAUUUUAAAUAACCAUGGGAGGAACCACAUUAACAUGAAUCUUUGGGUGCAUUUGUGCUUUCUGCCUAAAAUAGAUUUGUCCAUGUGGAAUUACUGGCCUGAAGGGUGCAAAUCUUUUUAAAGCUUUUGAUACAUACUGCUGGGGUUUAGCAACACCUUCCCAAGUUAGUCUCCUGACUAGAAGGGAAAGAGUGCCUGCCCUGCGGCCCCACCUGCAUGAUGAAUUUGUAUUAUUAAAAGAUAAGCCUUGCCAGAGGGACAUUU